AGCGAACGCUGGCGGCAGGCUUAACACAUGCAAGUCGAACGGGCGUAGCAAUACGUCAGUGGCAGACGGGUGAGUAACACGUGGGAACGUACCUUUUGGUUCGGAACAACUGAGGGAAACUUCAGCUAAUACCGGAUAAGCCCUAACGGGGAAAGAUUUAUCGCCGAAAGAUCGGCCCGCGUCUGAUUAGCUAGUUGGUGGGGUAAUGGCCCACCAAGGCGACGAUCAGUAGCUGGUCCGAGAGGAUGAUCAGCCACAUUGGGACUGAGACACGGCCCAAACUCCUACGGGAGGCAGCAGUGGGGAAUAUUGGACAAUGGGGGCAACCCUGAUCCAGCCAUGCCGCGUGAGUGAUGAAGGCCCUAGGGUUGUAAAGCUCUUUUGUGCGGGAAGAUAAUGACGGUACCGCAAGAAUAAGCCCCGGCUAACUUCGUGCCAGCCGCCGCAGUAAUAC
rnacentral:rRNA from 1 species